AAUAUUGUAUUUUUGGAAUCUGCUGGCUAUGGCAGUCUCUCGUCCUACCUAUUGAACAGCAUGUUCUUAUUUAAUUUGACUGAUAUCAGAUUUUGUCUUGCAUAGGUAACUUUC